GGACAUGGACAUGGACAUGGACCUCAUGGACAUGGACAUGGACAUAGUCAUGGCCAUUGUGACAAGCAAGUCGGGACGUGUCAUGGGUCGUCCAGCAGCUCCUGCAGCAGCAGCAGCAGCGACUCUGACUAGUUUCCACCUGGACACCUUCAUAUGCCCACUGCUGACCAUUUACUUAUUCAAAAAACAAUCAAACUUACAUUCUAAACUGUUUGUGUUUUACACUCAGGAUAUUAUAUACAGUGCAAAAUGCUGAAAACAUGUUUAUCAUAAAAGCAAUUCAUCUCCA